rnacentral:snoRNA from 1 species
GUUGUGCAGGGGUACAGAACAUGGCAAAAUGUGGCCAUGAGCGUGCGUGACGUCUGCCCGCCUGUGCGCACUCCAGGUGCGCGUUAAGCAGCUGCGGGUGGCGUCCACGAGACGCUUAGAACUAUAGCACUACUGAGAC